CACGAAUCAAACAUCAUGGCUGAGCACAGGCAUGCAGAUGGAUCUCAGUGUGGUUCAUUAAGGUUAUGAAGCUGGAUGAUGCACACACAAUGUGCCCUGAUGCAAAGCCCACACUGGUCUACUACCCAACAGUCUAUGUUGUAUUUCUUCACCCAAAUGUGAACUUGUAGGAGGACUGCAAGGGUUGAGUGUGACAUUUGGGAGAGGGCCUACUAUAUUAGAAAGUUGAUCACUACAGGAUUCAUGGUGUAAUUUGAAGUUGUCUCCAAAGCCAAAGAGAGCCAAGCAACCAUGAGGCUUCAGGACACGCACAGCCUCCUUUAGGAAACCUUCAGGAUCGAACCAAUGAGCCGCAGAUG